CUGUACUGGAGAAUCCUCACUGUAAACUAGAGAUACUGAGGUUGUGGCGUUGUGGUGUCUCAGAUGUAGGAUGUGCUGCUCUGGCUUCAGCUUUGAAAUCAAAUCCCUCUCACCUGAAAGUGCUGGAUCUGUCCUGUAACAAAAUAGAAGUCAGGAGUGAGACUGCUCUCUGCCAUUAGGAAUGAUGAACAUUUCAAACUAGAGGCACUGAGUGUGUGAUGAACAUCUGCGUGAUGAAGACUGAAGAGUUCCUGCAUUUCAUUUAAUUCAUUUCAUGUUCAUGGCUUAAAAACACUCCCCAUAGGAACCUGAAGGAUAUAAAAAGGUUUUCAACACAUUUCUUGGUGGUGAAUUUGAUGUGUAUCUAAUGAAAUUUAUUGUGUUUAAAUUGUUCCUUUGUCAUUCAUAGGUUACAUGAUAUAGAUCAUUUUUUGCAAUUUUUAUGUAGUUACUGUUUGUUAAGUUGUAUUUAACACAUGCAUGGUUGUAUUAAAUGCAAUAAUAUUGUAUUUAAUAGAGGUGUCACAAUACCAUUUUUUUGGUAUCAAUAGUAAAGUUUUCAGCAAAAGCAUAUUUUGAUACACGUACUAAUAUAUAUAUAUAUAUUACGCUAAUACAUAAACACUAACAUACUGAAAACACAACUUUGUCAGGUCACUGUUGGACUCCACAAUUUGCACAAUGAUGAAACCGGUGUAGCCCUUUUUGUGCAUUUAUUUCAUCCCAUUUUAGUACUGUUUUCUCGAACUUUUGUUCUCUUUUACACUGAUUGCUCCAGACUUUUGCUUGUCUACCAAUUUUGAGCUUGCCUGCCAAUUCUGUACAUUUCCCCACAUCUUACUUUGCCUUCAACAUGGAUGCAGCAGGUCAGAAGUAUUAGUAUCAAGCCUUUACCAUUCAUUAGCACAUCAUGCGAGAAUUGCAGCACACAAUGCAGAUUUUGACACCAAGGUGAACUAUGUGACACAGGCUCUUGCUGCUAUCUCCCAAAUGAUGGACUCUUCAAUGUUUUUGCCUUGUGUUUGACACCUCUCCGAGUGCAGAGAAUCCAGAGAGCAGCUGCUUACACUUACUCAGGGCUCCUACUGUGUGGCUGUUUAUGCAGUGAGGUCAGCAUUUUAUAAUUUAGAAAAGAGGAUGCAUAAAAAUCUAUUACAUCGAUUUUAUCUUAUACAACAUGUUAUGUGCAUUAUGGA